GCAGAACAGGAUCGAACAUGUGCAGCUAUAUAGGAGUAUACUCAUGCAUGUAGAAGUUGCGUCGUGCAACAUGUUAUUAGCUACCGUCCAAGCUGUCAAAGUGUGCAUGGCUCUUGUCUAUCUUUUCUAGGUGCUUUCAGACAUUCACAUACUAAUCACAGACAUGGGAAGACUAUAAGACGUCAAGAUGAAAGGCUCCUAGCAGCUCUCAGUGUUCCCAACGAAACUGGCAGAAUGGCAGUGGCUGAUUACAAGCUGCCUUUGGUGAACAAAAAAAAAAACGUGACCACAUUAGAAUCCGAGCAGAGCUCCAAUCCUGCAUUCUGAUGACACCUUACACAACGGCUCUCUGUUAUGGGGGGCUGGUACUUAAGAAGCUUUACUGCGGGCAUCCUACCCACUAUUUUCAGACUGUUUUGGUGGAAACUUAAGCUAGACUCUAGGCCAGCGGCGGAAAAAGAGCUUCAGGGACGUGCAUGUCUACAGUGUCAUGGAAGAUGCAUCAAAGGAUACUGGGCCUGCCGCCAGCUGACAUGCCUUUCUUCCUCCUUAGUUCUGUUAAGAUAUGGGUUCAGUUUUUCUAGACAUGCAAUCCAUAAUAUAUGCAGUCUAGUCAAUCAGUGCACGGCAUUACAUGCCAUUCAUUUCCUAUGUAUAUAUUUAGUCAGAAUCAAAGCAGGACAAGCACAUGUACAUAAUUUGCAAGAAUAAAAUUUUGUUUUUUGCUAAU
rnacentral:lncRNA from 1 species